AACGAACGCUGGCGGCAGGCCUAACACAUGCAAGUCGAGCGAGGACUUCGGUCCUAGCGGCGGACGGGUGAGUAACGCGUGGGAGCGUGCCCCUUGGUACGGAAUAGCCCCGGGAAACUGGGAGUAAUACCGUAUGAGCUCUACGGAGGAAAGAUUUAUCGCCAAGGGAUCGGCCCGCGUUGGAUUAGGUAGUUGGUGGGGUAAUGGCCUACCAAGCCGACGAUCCAUAGCUGGUUUGAGAGGAUGAUCAGCCACACUGGGACUGAGACACGGCCCAGACUCCUACGGGAGGCAGCAGUGGGGAAUCUUAGACAAUGGGCGCAAGCCUGAUCUAGCCAUGCCGCGUGAGCGAUGAAGGCCUUAGGGUUGUAAAGCUCUUUCAGCUGGGAAGAUAAUGACUGUACCAGCAGAAGAAGCCCCGGCUAACUCCGUGCCAGCCGCCGCAGUAAUAC
rnacentral:rRNA from 1 species